rnacentral:rRNA from 1 species
CCCAAAAAAUUCUCAGGCGCUUGAGAGAACUCGGUUGAAGGAACUCGGCAAAUUGACACCGUAACUUCGGAAGAAGGUGUGCCGCUAGUAGGUGAAGGUGUACAACUGGAGCCCAACGCGGUUGCAAAAAAUAGGUGGCUGCGACUGUUUAUUAAAAACACAGCACUCUGCAAACACGAAAGUGGACGUAUAGGGUGUGACGCCUGCCCGGUGCCGGAAGGUUAAAUGAUGGGGUGCAAGCUCUUGAUUGAAGCCCCGGUAAACGGCGGCCGUAACGAUAACGGUCCUAAGGUAGCGAAAUUCCUUGUCGGGUAAGUUCCGACCUGCACGAAUGGCGUAACGAUGGCCACACUGUCUCCAACCGAGACUCAGCGAAGUUGAAAUGUUUGUGAUGAUGCAAUCUACCCGCGGCUAGACGGAAAGACCCCGUGCACCUUUACUGUAGCUUUGCAUGGGACUGUGAACCGAUCUGUGUAGGAUAGCUGGGAGGCUUUGAAGCGGGGGCGCUAGCUCUCGUGGAGCCGACGUAAAUACCAGCCUGGUUUGUUUGCGGUUCUAACCUACGCUCGUGAAUCCGGGCGGGGGACAGUGCAUGGUAGGCAGUUUGACUGGGGCGGUCUCCUCCCAAAGAGUAACGGAGGAGCUCGAAGGUACGCUAGGCACGGUCGGAAAUCGUGCUGAUAGUGCAAUGGCAUAAGCGUGCUUAACUGCGAGACUGACAAGUCGAGCAGGUGCGAAAGCAGGACAUAGUGAUCCGGUGGUUCUGUAUGGAAGGGCCAUCGCUCAACGGAUAAAAGGUACGCCGGGGAUAACAGGCUGAUGACCCCCAAGAGUUCAUAUCGACGGGGUCGUUUGGCACCUCGAUGUCGGCUCAUCUCAUCCUGGGGCUGUAGCCGGUCCCAAGGGUAUGGCUGUUCGCCAUUUAAAGAGGUACGUGAGCUGGGUUUAAAACGUCGUGAGACAGUUUGGUCCCUAUCUGCCGUGGGCGUUGGAUGUUUGAAGGGGGCUGCUCCUAGUACGAGAGGACCGGAGUGGACGAACCUCUGGUGUACCGGUUGUGACGCCAGUCGCAUCGCCGGGUAGCUAAGUUCGGAAGAGAUAACCGCUGAAAGCAUCUAAGCGGGAAACUCGCCUUAAGAUGAGACAUCCCGGGGACUUGAUCCCCCUAAAGGGUCGCGGAAGACCACCGCGUUGAUAGGUCGGAUGUGGAAGCGCAGUAAUGCGUUAAGCUAACCGAUACUAAUUGCCCGUGAGGCUUGACCCU